UUCAUUUUACCUUGGACGAACCUUCUUCCCUCCAGCCUUCAUAGACCUGGAAGGCUGGUGUGGGGAAGGGGAGGGAGCUUGGGGCUGUUAACACUGUUCGUGUGGAGUUCAGUCUCUCAGACAGUUCCAGUUUUUUUUUUUGUUUUUUUUUUUUAAUGAAAAGGUUUGUCCCAUGAGCCAGGUGAGGUCUAGGGGGCUGGGUGGUGAUGUUGGGGCAGAGAUGGGUGCUGUAUGGAAGAGGCUGCAAGCUCCAGCAGGGCUGUGUAGAACGGUGGCAUCCUGUUGCCCUACCAUGCACAGAAUUUGCCCGCUACUCUCCUGUCCGCCACCCCCCCCCCCCCCCCCCNNNNNNNNNNNNNNNNNNNNNNNNNNNNNNNNNNNNNNNNNNNNNNNNNNNNNNNNNNNNNNNNNNNNNNNNNNNNNNNNNNNNNNNNNNNNNNNNNNNUGCCCUACCAUGCACAGAAUUUGCCCGCUACUCUCCUGUCCGCCACCCACCCCACCCCCCCUAGGCCUGGCACAGUGCUCAGAGGCCCCAUAUCCUGGACCUGGACCCAUGUGGGUCCGGAAAACCUGUCCUGACAGUCACUGGAUAAUUAUGAGAAGAGGCAGCUUUGCCUUCUCUUGCCCCUAUGGAUGUUGUCCUCUGUCCUUCGCAGCUGUCAGGCGGUGGAUUUCUCGCUCCUCGCCCAGCCCCCAGGCAGGCUUCUGCUGCCACAGCACGAUGCAGGCUGCCUUCUGGGCUUGGAGUUGUCAUUUCUAUUCACUCCCAAACGUCUCCUCAGGAGUCAUCUUAGUCCAGUAGUUCUGAAUGCAACAAGACUGUGGGAGACUGCCCACUUCGCUGGGGGUUAGAAUAGCAGCAGUGACCGCAGUGACCACAAAACAAUAUCCCUCUGGUGCUGACCACUCCCCACUGCUGCCCUGUGGGGCUCCAGCCCCUCAAGUUGCUCUCAAAUCCCUCUCACGGUCCCUGAGAGUGACUCUCGCACGCAGUACUCAUCCUUGUCCUCUUCACCUGAGGGAUCUGGGCUUCUGCCAAUAUUCAGACUGGCAGAUCAGUUCUGGGAGGUUCCAGAAGGUUCUAGAGCUAGUGCUGAACCACAUAUAUUCAAGUCAAGGCCCAGGGAGGUGCUUGGGCCAAAGGCACUGAAACAUGGAGCCCGAUGCUGCCAACACUGCCCCGACUAACCAGGGAGCAGUGGCAUUUUGGUAACUGUCUUUCUCUGUGACUCUGACUUUCACUUUCCUUUUCAUAGGUUAGACCUUGAAAGAAUCUGGGGGAGGAGAAGAACCAGACUUUUCUUGGACGGGGCCAGGACAAGGGCCAUACAGGCCUUUGGAGACACCCUUCCCCACCUGCCACCCUUGGUCCCCUUUCUGGGGGAGGAAGUGGUAGGGGGCUGAGACAGCAGGUCUGAAUCACGCCCCAAUCCCAGUUUCCCCAAACUGCACUCAAAGGUUGAGAGCUGCCAGUACAGGGAAUGUUGAGGUCACGUAUUCCAACUGUGCAGAGCUCACGUCCCCUCUGCAGUCACCCUGACAGAUGGCCCCUGUGGCUGCUAUUUGCCCACUUCCAGCACGAUUGGGGACGAGUCCAGGCUUUCCUUGGUUCACUCAAAAGUAGAAAGCGCUGUCUCCUGGCCAUGCACUUUGGGUCCCUGGGAAUAGAUUUCAGGGAGGGCUCUGCCUUCCAGAGCCUCCCGCUGACCCAGGCCACCUCUGGGGUUUGAUGCUUUCUGGUUGUGUCACUGGUGCCAGACUUCCAGCCGUGUAUGCUGCUUGGCAUCUGGGAGCUGGCAUGCCGUUAAAGUGACAAAGGGGAAUAAGGGAGAAACGAGAGGGCACGAGGAGGAAAGGGGCAAAAAUGACGCGCCUGCCGGGAGGACGGUGGGAGGGCCUGACAAGCAGAGUGGCUUCAGACUUAGUUUUUCAACCUCCUCAAGGACAUUUGGGUGUCAAGCGCAGGGAGAAGGUGAUCGUUGGUUCAUUCACCCCUUCACCCAACAAACAUUGAUUGAAUGCCUACUGUGUGCCUGGCUUGGGGCUCUAAGGUGGAGAUCCAGUGACAGAGGGGAGACAGUGUUUCUGCACAAAAGACCUCAACGGCUAGGGUGGGUGAAACCCACGAGGCCAAUAAACGUCAUAGAAAGUGGCCAGUGCCACGAAAGAGUCAUACCCAGAGGAAGGGGUCCCACUCACCGCCACCUGGCAGCGGGGUCACAGCACGGUCCAGGAAGAGGCCUGUGUAGCGGUUGGUUUGGGGGUGGGGACAGGUGAGUGUUCAGGGCAGAGCAGAACCAUGAGCCAAAGCACAGAGAUGGNNNNNNNNNNNNNNNNNNNNNNNNNNNNNNNNNNNGUGAUGCGCACUGUCCUAGAAUGGAAAGACUGCAUGAGGGCGGGAGGGGGCCAGACCCAGAAAGACCUCAAAUACCAUGUUGAGGAACUUGGACUUUAUCCUCCAGGCUUUGAGGCUGUGUGAGCAAUAGCCAGGCCUAAGAGAAGGGCCCAGCGGAAGUGUGGUCUAGGAACACAAACCCAGAAACACGAGAAGGAACGGUUCUGUGCAGUGACAGGAAGCUUCCAGCCCUCUGAAGUCGAGAAAAGCAGGAGCUCACACAUUGGACAGUCUGGCUAAAGGGACUGCUUCACCCAGCUAGAAAGCAGCAGCACUGAAACCCGAAUCCCGUCAUUGAGAAAUGUGAUCCACUGGCUUCCUUCUCAGAAGCGAAUUCAG
ensembl:lncRNA